UCGUCCUAUUCCGACAGGCAGGUGCUGCAGUCAUUUUCUACUGAGUCGAGAGGCGGCACGCAGCGACACAGCCGUCGCGGAGAAGACAUUCUUGUGUAGUAAAGCUAGUCAUGGUCUGGGCAGAGACAGUGAUCGCAGUCGCAGCAGAAGCAUCGCCUAACUACGUGCCAGCAGCCGCGGUAAUACGGAGGAGGCAAGCGUUAUCCUGAAUUAUUGGGCGUAAAGAGCCCGUAGGCGGUGUGUUAAGUCUGGUGUGAAAUCUCAGGGCUCAACCCUGGAGCCGCAGUGGAAACUGGAGUACUAGAGUCCGGUAGGGGAAGAUGGAAUUCCCGGUGUAGCGGUGAAAUGCUUAGAUAUCAUGAAGAACACCAGUGACGAAAGCACUCUGCAGGACCGUUAUUGACACUAAGAGGCGAAAAAUGGGGGGGGGACAGGAAUUAGAACCACCGUUGUUCUUCCCGUUAAACAAUGGUCAUAAGGGGGCGGGUAUCCACUCCGUUCAGUGCCGUAGCUAACGCAUAACAUCCGCGUGGAAUCUCU
rnacentral:rRNA from 1 species